AUGCCCUGGCAGUCAGAGGCGAUGAAGGACGUGCUAAUCUGCGAUAAGCGUCGGUAAGGUGAUAUGAACCGUUAUAACCGGCGAUUUCCGAAUGGGGAAACCCAGUGUGUUUCGACACACUAUCAUUAACUGAAUCCAUAGGUUAAUGAGGCGAACCGGGGGAACUGAAACAUCUAAGUACCCCGAGGAAAAGAAAUCAACCGAGAUUCCCCCAGUAGCGGCGAGCGAACGGGGAGCAGCCCAGAGCCUGAAUCAGUGUGUGUGUUAGUGGAAGCGUCUGGAAAGGCGCGCGAUACAGGGUGACAGCCCCGUACACAAAAAUGCACAUGCUGUGAGCUCGAUGAGUAGGGCGGGACACGUGGUAUCCUGUCUGAAUAUGGGGGGACCAUCCUCCAAGGCUAAAUACUCCUGACUGACCGAUAGUGAACCAGUACCGUGAGGGAAAGGCGAAAAGAACCCCGGCGAGGGGAGUGAAAAAGAACCUGAAACCGUGUACGUACAAGCAGUGGGAGCACGCUUAGGCGUGUGACUGCGUACCUUUUGUAUAAUGGGUCAGCGACUUAUAUUCUGUAGCAAGGUUAACCGAAUAGGGGAGCCGAAGGGAAACCGAGUCUUAACUGGGCGUUAAGUUGCAGGGUAUAGACCCGAAACCCGGUGAUCUAGCCAUGGGCAGGUUGAAGGUUGGGUAACACUAACUGGAGGACCGAACCGACUAAUGUUGAAAAAUUAGCGGAUGACUUGUGGCUGGGGGUGAAAGGCCAAUCAAACCGGGAGAUAGCUGGUUCUCCCCGAAAGCUAUUUAGGUAGCGCCUCGUGAAUUCAUCUCCGGGGGUAGAGCACUGUUUCGGCAAGGGGGUCAUCCCGACUUACCAACCCGAUGCAAACUGCGAAUACCGGAGAAUGUUAUCACGGGAGACACACGGCGGGUGCUAACGUCCGUCGUGAAGAGGGAAACAACCCAGACCGCCAGCUAAGGUCCCAAAGUCAUGGUUAAGUGGGAAACGAUGUGGGAAGGCCCAGACAGCCAGGAUGUUGGCUUAGAAGCAGCCAUCAUUUAAAGAAAGCGUAAUAGCUCACUGGUCGAGUCGGCCUGCGCGGAAGAUGUAACGGGGCUAAACCAUGCACCGAAGCUGCGGCAGCGACGCUGAUGCGUUGUUGGGUAGGGGAGCGUUCUGUAAGCCUGCGAAGGUGUGCUGUGAGGCAUGCUGGAGGUAUCAGAAGUGCGAAUGCUGACAUAAGUAACGAUAAAGCGGGUGAAAAGCCCGCUCGCCGGAAGACCAAGGGUUCCUGUCCAACGUUAAUCGGGGCAGGGUGAGUCGACCCCUAAGGCGAGGCCGAAAGGCGUAGUCGAUGGGAAACAGGUUAAUAUUCCUGUACUUGGUGUUACUGCGAAGGGGGGACGGAGAAGGCUAUGUUGGCCGGGCGACGGUUGUCCCGGUUUAAGCGUGUAGGCUGGUUUUCCAGGCAAAUCCGGAAAAUCAAGGCUGAGGCGUGAUGACGAGGCACUACGGUGCUGAAGCAACAAAUGCCCUGCUUCCAGGAAAAGCCUCUAAGCAUCAGGUAACAUCAAAUCGUACCCCAAACCGACACAGGUGGUCAGGUAGAGAAUACCAAGGCGCUUGAGAGAACUCGGGUGAAGGAACUAGGCAAAAUGGUGCCGUAACUUCGGGAGAAGGCACGCUGAUAUGUAGGUGAAGUCCCUUGCGGAUGGAGCUGAAAUCAGUCGAAGAUACCAGCUGGCUGCAACUGUUUAUUAAAAACACAGCACUGUGCAAACACGAAAGUGGACGUAUACGGUGUGACGCCUGCCCGGUGCCGGAAGGUUAAUUGAUGGGGUCAGCGCAAGCGAAGCUCUUGAUCGAAGCCCCGGUAAACGGCGGCCGUAACUAUAACGGUCCUAAGGUAGCGAAAUUCCUUGUCGGGUAAGUUCCGACCUGCACGAAUGGCGUAAUGAUGGCCAGGCUGUCUCCACCCGAGACUCAGUGAAAUUGAACUCGCUGUGAAGAUGCAGUGUACCCGCGGCAAGACGGAAAGACCCCGUGAACCUUUACUAUAGCUUGACACUGAACAUUGAGCCUUGAUGUGUAGGAUAGGUGGGAGGCUUUGAAGUGUGGACGCCAGUCUGCAUGGAGCCGACCUUGAAAUACCACCCUUUAAUGUUUGAUGUUCUAACGUUGACCCGUAAUCCGGGUUGCGGACAGUGUCUGGUGGGUAGUUUGACUGGGGCGGUCUCCUCCUAAAGAGUAACGGAGGAGCACGAAGGUUGGCUAAUCCUGGUCGGACAUCAGGAGGUUAGUGCAAUGGCAUAAGCCAGCUUGACUGCGAGCGUGACGGCGCGAGCAGGUGCGAAAGCAGGUCAUAGUGAUCCGGUGGUUCUGAAUGGAAGGGCCAUCGCUCAACGGAUAAAAGGUACUCCGGGGAUAACAGGCUGAUACCGCCCAAGAGUUCAUAUCGACGGCGGUGUUUGGCACCUCGAUGUCGGCUCAUCACAUCCUGGGGCUGAAGUAGGUCCCAAGGGUAUGGCUGUUCGCCAUUUAAAGUGGUACGCGAGCUGGGUUUAGAACGUCGUGAGACAGUUCGGUCCCUAUCUGCCGUGGGCGCUGGAGAACUGAGGGGGGCUGCUCCUAGUACGAGAGGACCGGAGUGGACGCAUCACUGGUGUUCGGGUUGUCAUGCCAAUGGCACUGCCCGGUAGCUAAAUGCGGAAGAGAUAAGUGCUGAAAGCAUCUAAGCACGAAACUUGCCCCGAGAUGAGUUCUCCCUGACUCCUUGAGAGUCCUGAAGGAACGUUGAAGACGACGACGUUGAUAGGCCGGGUGUGUAAGCGCAGCGAUGCGUUGAGCUAACCGGUACUAAUGAACCGUGAGGCUUAACCUU
rnacentral:rRNA from 1 species